rnacentral:rRNA from 1 species
GGCGUAAACAAAGGGAAGCGACCACGUGAGUGUAAGCGAAUCCCAAAAAUAACGUCUCAGUUCGGAUUGUAGUCUGCAACUCGACUACAUGAAGCUGGAAUCGCUAGUAAUCGCGAAUCAGAAUGUCGCGGUGAAUACGUUCCCGGGUCUUGUACACACCGCCCGUCACACCAUGGGAGUCAGUAACGCCCGAAGCCGGUGACCCAACCAGUUCUGGAGGGAGCCGUCGAAGGUGGGACCGAUAACUGGGGUGAAGUCGUAACAAGGUAAC